rnacentral:rRNA from 1 species
UACGAAGGGGGCUAGCGUUGCUCGGAAUCACUGGGCGUAAAGCGCACGUAGGCGGCUUCUUAAGUCAGGGGUGAAAUCCUGGAGCUCAACUCCAGAACUGCCUUUGAUACCGAGAAGCUUGAGUCCGGGAGAGGUGAGUGGAACUGCGAGUGUAGAGGUGAAAUUCGUAGAUAUUCGCAAGAACACCAGUGGCGAAGGCGGCUCACUGGCCCGGUACUGACGCUGAGGUGCGAAAGCGUGGGGAGCAAACAGG